UACGUAGGGCGCAAGCGUUAUCCGGAAUUAUUGGGCGUAAAGAGCUCGUAGGCGGUUUGUCGCGUCUGCCGUGAAAGUCCGGGGCUCAACUCCGGAUCUGCGGUGGGUACGGGCAGACUAGAGUGAUGUAGGGGAGUCUGGAAUUCCUGGUGUAGCGGUGAAAUGCGCAGAUAUCAGGAGGAACACCGAUGGCGAAGGCAGGUCUCUGGGCAUUAACUGACGCUGAGGAGCGAAAGCAUGGGGAGCGAACAGG
rnacentral:rRNA from 1 species